AACGAACGCUGGCGGCAUGCUUAAUACAUGCAAGUCGAACGAGAAACUAGGAGCUUGCUCUUAGUGGAAAGUGGCGAACGGGUGAGUAACGCGUGGGUAAUGUGCCUAAUGGCUGGGGAUAACAGAGGGAAACUUUUGCUAAUACCGAAUAAGUUCUUCGGUCCCGCGGGACUGACGAAGAAAGAGGGGCAACUCUCCCCAUUGGAUCGGCCCGCGUCCCAUCAGCUUGUUGGUGCGGUAACGGCGUACCAAGGCAACGACGGGUAGCUGGUCUGAGAGGAUGAUCAGUCACACUGGGACUGAGAUACGGCCCAG
rnacentral:rRNA from 1 species